ACUUUCAGCAACGGAUCUCUUGGUUCUGGCAUCAAUGAAGAAGGCAGCAGAAUGCGAUAAGUAAUGUGAAUUGCAGAAUUCAGUGAAUCAUCGAAUCUUUGAACGCAAAUUGCGCCCGCCAGUAUUCUGGCGGGCAUGCCUGUCUCAGCGUCAUUU
rnacentral:rRNA from 1 species